rnacentral:rRNA from 3 species
UACAGAGGUCUCAAGCGUUGUUCGGAUUCAUUGGGCGUAAAGGGUGCGUAGGCGGCGCGGUAAGUCGGGUGUGAAAUCUCGGAGCUUAACUCCGAAACUGCAUUCGAUACUGCCGUGCUUGAGGACUGGAGAGGAGACUGGAAUUUACGGUGUAGCGGUGAAAUGCGUAGAUAUCGUAAGGAAGACCAGUGGCGAAGGCGGGUCUCUGGACAGUUCCUGACGCUGAGGCACGAAGGCCAGGGGAGCAAACGGG